CCUACGGGAGGCAGCAGUGAGGAAUAUUGGACAAUGGGCGCAAGCCUGAUCCAGCCAUGCCGCGUGCAGGAAGAAGCAUCUAUGGUGUGUAAACUGCUUUUGUACAGGAAGAAACACUCCCUCGUGAGGGAGCUUGACGGUACUGUAAGAAUAAGGACUGGCUAACUCCGUGCCAGCAGCCGCGGUAAUACGGAGGGUCCGAGCGUUAUCCGGAAUCAUUGGGUUUAAAGGGUCCGUAGGCGGUUUAAUAAGUCAGUGGUGAAAUCUGGUCGCUCAACGAUCAAACGGCCAUUGAUACUGUUAGACUUGAAUUAUAAGGAAGUAACUAGAAUAUGUAGUGUAGCGGUGAAAUGCUUAGAUAUUACAUGGAAUACCAAUUGCGAAGGCAGGUUACUACUUAUGGAUUGACGCUGAUGGACGAAAGCGUGGGGAGCGAACAGGAUUAGAUACCCUGGUAGUCCACGCCGUAAACGAUGGAUACUAGCUGUUCGGAGCAAUCUGAGUGGCUAAGCGAAAGUGAUAAGUAUCCCACCUGGGGAGUACGUUCGCAAGAAUGAAACUCAAAGGAAUUGACGGCUGAGAGAGCGAGGACGACGACGAGGGAGGAGGG
rnacentral:rRNA from 1 species